rnacentral:rRNA from 1 species
UACAGACGGUCCAAACGUUAUUCGGAAUCACUGGGCUUAAAGAGUUCGUAGGCGGUCAGGAAAGUGGGGUGUGAAAGCCCUCGGCUUAACCGAGGAAUUGCGCUCCAAACUCCCUGACUUGAGGAGGCUAGAGGUAAGCGGAACUGAUGGUGGAGCGGUGAAAUGCGUUGAUAUCAUCAGGAACACCGGAGGCGAAGGCGGCUUACUGGGGCCUUUCUGACGCCGAGGAACGAAAGCUAGGGGAGCGAACGGG